rnacentral:rRNA from 1 species
GUGUCAGCCGCCGCGGUAAAACGUAGGAGGCGAGCGUUAUCCGGAUUUAUUGGGCGUAAAGCGCAUGCAGGUGGCCCUGCAAGUCGGGUGUGAAAGCCUCUGGCUUAACUGGAGGAGGUCGCUCGAUACUGCUGGGCUUGAGGUCGGAAGAGGGAAGCGGAAUUCCCGGUGUAGUGGUGGAAUGCGUAGAUAUCGGGAGGAACACCAGUGGCGAAAGCGGCUUCCUGGUCCGCACCUGACACUAAGAUGCGAAAGCGUGGGGAGCGAACGGGAUUAGAUACCCCGGUAGUCCACGCUGUAAACGAUGGGUACUGGGUAUUGGUGGUAUUGACCCCAUCAGUGCCGAAGCUAACGCGUUAAGUACCCCGCCUGGGGACUACGGCCGCAAGGUUAA